GCAGGACGCCUCUUCCCUCUGAGGUGCGGCCACCGGCUCGGACGCCUCCAUCGCCUCCAAGAGACGCCGCCGCCGCUGGAUACGGGCGAGGGAGAAGAGCUUCCAGACGGCCGGAGUGACUUGGUCAAGGUCACAGACAGGUCACUGUCAGACUAAGUUCUGGACACCUACGGACUCAUCUAUUUUUUUCUGUUGGUUCCCCUUUCCCCUUUCUUAGAAAACAACAAGAACCAUUAGUACUCAACAUUAAGAGAGAGAUCACAAGUAGGCAGAGAGGCAGGCAGAUAGAGAG